UUUAUCUAAAUUAGAAAACUAAGUCUUAAAAAGAUUUGAAAAGAAAGUGAAUUGAAACAUCUUAGUAACUUUUAUACAAAACAUCAACCGAGAUUUUGUUAGUAGUGGCGAGCGAAAGCAAAAUAGCUUUUUUAACAAAAAUGAACUAUUGACCAAAGAAGGUUUAAGUCCUGUAAUUUUUUAAUUAUUAAAGCGUAUUCAAGUAGGGUUAUCAAAAAUUAAUCCGAAAAUUGGGGUACCACCCUCAAGGUUAAAGAUUUUUAGUGACCGAUAGUGAAAAGUACCGUAAGGGAAAGGUGAAAUAAGUUUCUUUGAAAAUGAAAAUACCUGAAAUUUAUUGCUAACAAUCAGUUAGAGUUAAUUUAAGAUUAAUGAUAGCGUACCUUUUGCAUAAUGGGCCAGUGAGUUUAUUUAAUUAGCCGCUUAAGCAGAUAUGUGUAGGCGUAGGGAAACCGAAUAUUAAAAUGUAUGUAUGGUUAAUUGAAUAAGACCCGAAACUGAGUGAUCUAACCAUGAGCAGGUUGAAAAAUUAGCAGUAAUGCUUUUUGGAGGACCGAACCCGUGUAUGUAGAAAAAUACUGGAAUGACUUGUGGUUAGGGGUGAAAGGCCAAUCAAACUCGGAAAUAGCUGGUUCUCCGCGAAAUCUAUUUAGGUAGAGCGUCAUCCAAAUACCCUCGGGGGUAGAGCACUGGAUGGGCUAGGGGGCCCCAACGGCUUACCAAACCUAACCAAACUCCGAAUACCGAGGAGUACUAGAUGGCAGACACACUGCGGGUGCUAAGGUCCGUAGUGGAGAGGGAAACAGCCCUGACCACCAGCUAAGGUCCCUAAGUUAUCACUAAGUGGGAAACGAUGUGGGAGUGCUUAGACAACCAGGAGGUUGGCUUAGAAGCAGCCACCCUUUAAAGAAAGCGUAAUAGCUCACUAGUCGAG
rnacentral:rRNA from 13 species